UACAGAGGGGGCAAGCGUUAUUCGGAAUUAUUGGGCGUAAAGGGCGCGUAGGCGGCCUGGCAAGUGGAAGGUGAAAUCCCUCGGCUUAACCGAGGAACUGCCCUCCAAACUGCUUGGCUUGAGUCCGGGAGAGGUGAGUGGAAUUCCCAGUGUAGCGGUGAAAUGCGUAGAUAUUGGGAGGAACACCAGUGGCGAAGGCGGCUCACUGGACCGGAACUGACGCUGAGGCGCGAAAGCGUGGGGGGCAAACGGG
rnacentral:rRNA from 1 species